AUUGAACGCUGGCGGCAUGCCUUACACAUGCAAGUCGAACGGCAGCACGGGUGCUUGCACCUGGUGGCGAGUGGCGAACGGGUGAGUAAUACAUCGGAACAUGUCCUGUAGUGGGGGAUAGCCCGGCGAAAGCCGGAUUAAUACCGCAUACGAUCUACGGAUGAAAGCGGGGGACCUUCGGGCCUCGCGCUAUAGGGUUGGCCGAUGGCUGAUUAGCUAGUUGGUGGGGUAAAGGCCUACCAAGGCGACGAUCAGUAGCUGGUCUGAGAGGACGACCAGCCACACUGGGACUGAGAACCGGCCCAGCACCCCACGGGAGGCAGCGGGGGGGAAUUUUGGACAAUGGGCGAAAGCCUGAUCCAGAAAGGCCGGGUGGGUGAAGAAGGCCUUCGGGUUGUAAAGCAUUUUUGUCCGGAAAAAAAUCCUUGGCCCUAAUACGGUCGGGGGAUGACGGUACCGGAAGAAUAAGCCCCGGCUAACUACGU
rnacentral:rRNA from 1 species